CUACAGCAGCAGAAGACCACCCGGUACUAGCAAGGUGUACCUAAUAAAGUGGCCGUUAAGAGAAGCCCAUCUCUAGAAGAGCAACCGUCUCCACGAACAUCUUUCCAAAAAAGACCACAUAUAAUUGCUUUUAAUUAUACCGUACCAUACUGCACUCUCCAUACUACAACACAGUUAAAACAAAAUGUUUUGCAUAUUUAGUGACUUUUAUUUUGAAAAUGCUGUUUAGCUAUUGAAGUUCAUCAUGUGAUUUUUAUAGGUGAUCCAGUGUCUGUUGUCACGUGACUUGUUACUACUGUAGUGACCUUUUAUAUACUGUUCUUUCAAUAAAUGCAAUACAUUUUCAAGAUUAAA